CUUUAAUCCCAGCAAUUUGGGAGGCCGAAGUGGGUGGAUCACAAGGUGCAGUACAAUGGCCAGAUCGCAAAGUCAUCCCUCUGCUCACCUGAGACAAAUGCAUAUCUAAUUGCUUCUUCUGCCCUAUUGUUUAUGCAAAAAUGCAGAUUCACUGAGCCAGACUAAGGCAUCAGUGUGACUAUUCCUUUACUCCCCACUCCAUGUAAAUUGUGUAGUCAGUGAAAGAUUGAUCAAAGACCCAAAAGAAUGCAGCCUUUUGUCUCUUAUCUACCUAUGACCUGGAAGCCACCACUUCGAGUUGUCCCGCCUUUCCAGACUGAACCAGUGUAACAUCUUACAGGUAUUGAUUGAUGUCUCAUGUCUCCGCAAAAUGUAUAAAACCAAGCUGUGCCUCGACCACCUUUAGCACGUGUUGUCAGAACCUCCUGAGGCUGUGUCAUCUCAUGAAUGUGUGCUCAACCUUGGCAAAAUAAACUUUCUAAAUUGAUUGAGACCUGUCUCAGAUACUUUUGGGUUCACAACAUGAACUCAGCUUCCUUUACAGACUCCGUGAGACCUGCGUGUUGAUCCCUGCUAUGCCCCUCACCUUACCGUUUAACCCCUGCCCCAUUUUACUCACUCCUGGCAAGAAAACCAGUAUGCCGAGAAGAGGAGUGGUGCCACACAGGAGGCCAUGGAGGAUGAGCAGAGAUGGACAAUUGAGUAGAGUCCCUGAGAGCAGCAAGAGGCCUUCUGCUUGUGUGGAGUCUGUGAGACUGUGUGAGGUUGGAUGGGAAGAGCAAGCAGGAGAGGGAUCAUGAUCAUGAGGGCAAGGGAGUCCUUGGAAGACUGAGGGUCAGUGAGUGUGUGUGGAUCUGCAGGGGGCUGUGGCUGUCUCCUGUUUAUGGCCCCCUAAAACUUUCAUUUUCUACGUUCAGAAACUUCCUCCCCUUCUGGUGUGUAAUAAAGAAUUUGGCCUUUG